rnacentral:rRNA from 1 species
CAAGUAGCGUGCAGGACGACUGCCCUAUGGGUUGUAAACUGCUUUUAUCAGGGAAUAAAGUGAGGCACGGGUGCCUUUUUGUAUGUACCUGAUGAAUAAGGACCGGCUAAUUCCGUGCCAGCAGCCGCGGUAAUACGGAAGGUCCGGGCGUUAUCCGGAUUUAUUGGGUUUAAAGGGAGCGCAGGCGGGCUUUUAAGCGUGACGUGAAAUGUGGCGGCUCAACCGCCGAUCUGCGUCGCGAACUGGGGGCCUUGAGUGAGUACGACGUUGGCGGAAUUCGUGGUGUAGCGGUGAAAUGCUUAGAUAUCACGAAGAACCCCGAUUGCGAAGGCAGCCGACGAGUCCUUAACUGACGCUAAAGCUCGAAAGUGCGGGUAUCGAACAGGAUUAGAUACCCUGGUAGUCCGCACGGUAAACGAUGGAUGCCCGCUGUAUGCGAUACACUGUAUGCGGCCAAGAGAAAUCGUUAAGCAUCCCACCUGGGGAGUACGCCGGCAACGGUGAAACUCAAAGGAAUUGACGG